GUCGGAGUCAGUUUCACAGAGCAGCGCAGGAGGACGACAGACACAUAAAGAACAUUAACAGUUUAGCACAAAUGUUUCCCGUGGAAGUUUGAAUCUCUCUCAGUCAGGGGGGAGAUUGACUGACUGACUGUUUACUCGCCACCAAACAGUAAUUUACCCUGAAACCUUUUACAGUAAGGACUAACGUUAACUGACUGUCUGUCUGCUCUCAACCAAACAGUCAUUCAGGACCUUGUAAAGUAAGGACUAACGUUAACUGACUGUCUGUCUGCUCUCAACCAAACAGUCAUUCAGGACCUUGUAAAGUUUAGCACAAACGUUUCCCGCGCAAGUUUGGAUCUUUACCAUUGAGGGUGGCUGACUGUUCUCGACCAACCAUCAUUCACACGCAAAAACUUUAAAGAUAAGUAUGAACGUGCCCAGAGCAGUUUUCGAUCUUUACCAUUAAGGUGGCUGACUGGCUAUCCUCUACCACCCAUCAUUAACACAACAAAAACUAAAGAAAUGUUACUCCAUAUGGACCUAUUCAUUUACUCAUUAUGCUGUGAGUACACCACAGUUUUAUCAGGGAAAAAAUGUAUAUUUGUGUGUUUCUCACUGCUUGGCAAGGACAGAUGUGGCCCUGUUAAAAAUGUUUAAAUGUCGUUUGGUUUAAGGAACAGCACACUGAUUUUGUUUUAAAUAUUCCUGUUUGGACAGUCUGUUAAAGUCAUAAAGCAGGGGUGGGGAACCCUGGUCCUGGAGGGCCACUGUCCUGCAGAGUAUAGUUCCAACCCUAAUUAAACACACCUGAAAAAUCUAAUUCAAGUCUUC